rnacentral:lncRNA from 1 species
UGAGUUAUGAUUACUUUGCGGCUGAGUUAAACAACAAGGCUGACUUAUGAGAAAUUGGCUGACUUACGGACAUAAAUCAGCCGUUAGUUAUGGCUGAUUUACAGAUUUCAGACGCUGACUUACGAACACAAGUUACAGUUGAUUUAUACAUCGGCAGGCUGAUUUCUCAAAAAUUCGGCUGAGUUAUAGUUAAGACAGGGUUGAGUUAUAUUUCUCCGGCUGAUUUAAUGAUCAUCGCCUAGCUAAGUUACUAAAUUUACGGCUGACUUAUGGGAGGUUGUUACGGUUGAGUGAUAUACCAUGAAUUUUAUCCACUUUUAACCAUGGUAUAUAGGUGUUUUAGGAACUAUCCAUUAUGUUUUGCAGUCUUUUUAGCAUUUUUACAGGUUCAUGGAUGAUUUGGAGAAAAGUGAUGAUUUAGAUGCAUUUUGGAGAUAAAAUGAGAGAAAGCUCGAAGCUGACAAUCGAACCAGUUUGAGGUCGACAUUCAGAGUCCACCAUCGACUGACGCACACUUUGU